rnacentral:tRNA from 1 species
GCGCGGUGGUAGCUCAGUCGGGUAAGCGCCUGCUUCUCACGUCAGAAGGCAUCGGGAUGUGGGUUCGAAUCCCGGCACCGACA